rfam:Gorilla gorilla gorilla genomic chromosome, chr10, whole genome shotgun sequence
UAGGGAAGACGGGGUUCGGACCCCCUCCCCGAACCUAGGGUAACUUUGCAAGUAGAGGGGUC